rnacentral:rRNA from 1 species
GGUUAAGCGACUAAGCGUACACGGUGGAUGCCCUGGCAGUCAGAGGCGAUGAAGGACGUGCUAAUCUGCGAUAAGCGUCGGUAAGGUGAUAUGAACCGUUAUAACCGGCGAUUUCCGAAUGGGGAAACCCAGUGUGAUUCGACACACUAUCAUUAACUGAAUCCAUAGGUUAAUGAGGCGAACCGGGGGAACUGAAACAUCUAAGUACCCCGAGGAAAAGAAAUCAACCGAGAUUCCCCCAGUAGCGGCGAGCGAACGGGGAGGAGCCCAGAGCCUGAAUCAGUGUGUGUGUUAGUGGAAGCGUCUGGAAAGGCGCGCGAUACAGGGUGACAGCCCCGUACACAAAAAUGCACAUGCUGUGAGCUCGAUGAGUAGGGCGGGACACGUGGUAUCCUGUCUGAAUAUGGGGGGACCAUCCUCCAAGGCUAAAUACUCCUGACUGACCGAUAGUGAACCAGUACCGUGAGGGAAAGGCGAAAAGAACCCCGGCGAGGGGAGUGAAAAAGAACCUGAAACCGUGUACGUACAAGCAGUGGGAGCACAGAGCAAUCUGUGUGACUGCGUACCUUUUGUAUAAUGGGUCAGCGACUUAUAUUCUGUAGCAAGGUUAACCGAAUAGGGGAGCCGAAGGGAAACCGAGUCUUAACCGGGCGUUAAGUUGCAGGGUAUAGACCCGAAACCCGGUGAUCUAGCCAUGGGCAGGUUGAAGGUUGGGUAACACUAACUGGAGGACCGAACCGACUAAUGUUGAAAAAUUAGCGGAUGACUUGUGGCUGGGGGUGAAAGGCCAAUCAAACCGGGAGAUAGCUGGUUCUCCCCGAAAGCUAUUUAGGUAGCGCCUCGUGAAUUCAUCUCCGGGGGUAGAGCACUGUUUCGGCAAGGGGGUCAUCCCGACUUACCAACCCGAUGCAAACUGCGAAUACCGGAGAAUGUUAUCACGGGAGACACACGGCGGGUGCUAACGUCCGUCGUGAAGAGGGAAACAACCCAGACCGCCAGCUAAGGUCCCAAAGUCAUGGUUAAGUGGGAAACGAUGUGGGAAGGCCCAGACAGCCAGGAUGUUGGCUUAGAAGCAGCCAUCAUUUAAAGAAAGCGUAAUAGCUCACUGGUCGAGUCGGCCUGCGCGGAAGAUGUAACGGGGCUAAACCAUGCACCGAAGCUGCGGCAGCGACACUGUGUGUUGUUGGGUAGGGGAGCGUUCUGUAAGCCUGUGAAGGUGUGCUGUGAGGCAUGCUGGAGGUAUCAGAAGUGCGAAUGCUGACAUAAGUAACGAUAAAGCGGGUGAAAAGCCCGCUCGCCGGAAGACCAAGGGUUCCUGUCCAACGUUAAUCGGGGCAGGGUGAGUCGACCCCUAAGG